AGAGUUUGAUCAUGGCUCAGAAUCAACGCUGGCGGCGCGCUUAACACAUGCAAGUCGCACGAGAAAGGGAGCAAUCCUAAGUAAAGUGGCGUACGGGUGAGUAACACGUGGGAAUCUACCUCUUGGCGGGGAAUAACCCUGGGAAACCGGGGCUAAUACCGCAUAAGCUCGUGAGAGGAAAGCAGCAAUGCACCGAGAGAGGAGCCCGCGGCCGAUUAGCUAGUUGGUGAGGUAAUGGCUCACCAAGGCGAAGAUCGGUAGCCGGCCUGGGAGGGCACACGGCCACACUGGCACUGAAACACGGGCCAGACUCCUACGGGAGGCAGCAGUGGGGAAUCUUGCACAAUGGGGGAAACCCUGAUGCAGCGACGCCGCGUGAGCGAUGAAGCCCUUCGGGGUGUAAAGCUCUUUCGACGGGAACGAUAAUGACGGUACCUGGAGAAGAAGCUGCGGCUAACUACGUGCCAGCAGCCGCGGUAAUACGUAGGCAGCAAGCGUUGUUCGGAAUUACUGGGCGUAAAGAGUGUGUAGGCGGUUCGCUAAGUUUGGUGUGAAAUCUCCCGGCUUAACUGGGAGGGUGCGCCGAAAACUGGCGGGCUUGAGUAUGGGAGAGGAAAGCGGAAUUUCCUGGGUGUAGCGGUGAAAUGCGU
rnacentral:rRNA from 1 species